GCUGUGAUACAGAUUAAUUGAUGGUGAAUCAGCUGUUGGGAAAACAAGCUCAGGGCUCCCACUGAUUGUACAUUAUGACCAAGUGUGUUGGGGACUUGAGAUGCGUACAUGAGUGUGAUGUUUCCUGCUGAAAGCACAGGUGAGACGUGGUCUUGUAACACAGUGGUUAAGAAUGUGACUUUGGAGCCAGCCUGCUAGGGGCUGAAUUCUGACUCAGCCAUUUACUAACUGUGUGACCUUAGGGAGGAGGACCUGGUUGAUAGAAGAAUUUAUCUCGUAGUCUUAACAUCCACUGUAAUUCCAAACUUUGAGGACGAUAGAGAUCAGUGGGCUUUGACUGCCCAGCAUGCAGUCUCCAUUCUUAGGUGGGUUCCCAAGCCUGUAAAAUGUAAGCCUUAUGCUGCUGAGGGCCAUCUUGCCACCCUGAGGGAAACGCUGCCUGAGAAUGAAACAAGCAUAAGUAAAAGCUGAGCUGUGAGAUGGAGCAAGAUGAAGGCCACAUGACAUCUUUGGAGCACCUGGAUCUAACUGUGCCUUAAGCUAGUCUAACCCUGAACAUUUCAUCAUUUCAUUGACAUGAGCCCAGGUUUUCUUUUUUU
rnacentral:lncRNA from 10 species